AUUUCAAUCCCUCAUGCUCUCCCUUGAAGUCUUAUACCCAGCACCAGCAGCCCCAGUCCUUGCCCUGCUUCCACCCAUCGACGAUAACUAACCUCUCCGCCAAUGGCCUCCUGCUUUGCCACUGCUUCAUUGUUGAGAGUUAGGCAUCAGUGAGUCUGCUUUCUCCCUCUCUCCCCUUUUUUUUUUUUUUGUUCUUUUAAAGUUUAGUUCAUUUUUAUUAUUAUCAUUUGUGAUUUAUAUUUUAUUUAUGGAAAUGAUUGUGAG
rnacentral:lncRNA from 1 species